CCGUAGCUCAACCGGAUAGAGCAGCGGUUUUCUAAACCGCAGGUUACAGGUUCGAUUCCUGUCGGGCGUACCA
rnacentral:tRNA from 1 species